GAAACAUCUAAGUACCCGGAGGAAAAGAAAUCAAUUGAGAUUCCCUCAGUAGCGGCGAGCGAAAGGGGAACAGCCCUUAAGCUGUGGUGUAGUUAAUGGAACGGUCUGGAAAGUCCGGCGAUACAGGGUGAUAGCCCCGUACAUAAAAACUUAUCUACAGUGAAAUCGAGUAGGGCGGGACACGUGAUAUCCUGUCUGAACAUGGGGGGACCAUCCUCCAAGGCUAAAUACUCUCUACCGACCGAUAGUGAACCAGUACCGUGAGGGAAAGGCGAAAAGAACCCCGUUGAGGGGAGUGAAAUAGAACCUGAAACCGUAUGCGUACAAGCAGUGGGAGCCCCUUCGGGGGUGACUGCGUACCUUUUGUAUAAUGGGUCAGCG
rnacentral:rRNA from 1 species